rnacentral:rRNA from 1 species
CCUACGGGAGGCAGCAGUGAGGAAUAUUGGUCAAUGGGCGGAAGCCUGAACCAGCCAAGUCGCGUGCGGGAUGAAGGCCCUACGGGUCGUAAACCGCUUUUGCACGGGGACAACACCCUCCACGUGUGGAGGUCUGCAGUUACCCUGCGAAUAAGGGCCGGCUAAUUCCGUUCCAGCAGCCGCGGUAAUACGGAGGGCCCGAGCGUUAUCCGGAUUGAUGGGGCUUAAAGGGAGCGUAGGCGGGCGUUCAAGUCAGCUGUAAAAUCGCGCGGCUCAACCGCUCCGCGCAGUUGAAACUGGACGCCUUGAGUGCACAAGAGGUAUGCGGAAUGCGUGGUGUAGCGGUGAAAUGCAUAGAUAUCACGAGGAACCCCGAUUGCGAAGGCAGCCUGCCGGGGUGCAACUGACGCUGAGGCUCGAAGGUGCGGGUAUCAAACAGGAUUAGAUACCCCAGUAGUC